GACGAACGCUGGCGGCGUGCCUAAUACAUGCAAGUCGAGCGAAGUUUUUCUGGUGCUUGCACCGGAAAAACUUAGCGGCGAACGGGUGAGUAACACGUAAAGAACCUGCCUUAUAGACUGGGACAACUAUUGGAAACGAUAGCUAAUACCGGAUAACAGCAUUAACUGCAUGGUUGAUGUUUGAAAGUUGGUUUUGCUAACACUAUGAGAUGGCUUUGCGGUGCAUUAGCUAGUUGGUGGGGUAAAGGCCUACCAAGGCGACGAUGCAUAGCCGACCUGAGAGGGUGAUCGGCCACACUGGGACUGAGACACGGCCCAGACUCCUAAGGGAGGCAGCAGUAGGGAAUCUUCCGCAAUGGGCGAAAGCCUGACGGAGCAACGCCGCGUGAGUGAAGAAGGAUUUCGGUUCGUAAAGCUCUGUUGUUAGGGAAGAAUGAUUGUGUAGUAACUAUACACAGUAGAGACGGUACCUAACCAGAAAGCCACGGCUAACUACGUG
rnacentral:rRNA from 1 species